rnacentral:rRNA from 1 species
UACAUGGGGUGCAAACGUUGCUCGGAACUAUUGGGCGUAAAGCGCACGUAGGCGGUUCGUUAAGUCGGAUGUGAAAGCCCUCGGCUCAACUGAGGAAGUGCACCCGAAACUGGCGAGCUUGAGUACGAAAGAGGAUCGCGGAAUUCCCGGUGUAGAGGUGAAAUUCGUAGAUAUCGGGAGGAACACCGGUGGCGAAGGCGGCGAUCUGGGUCGAUACUGACGCUGAGGUGCGAAAGCGUGGGGAGCAAACAGG